CGGUCUGCCCUGGAAGCAGUGGGAACAGAAAGAAGGGAAAGGUCAGUUCUAUUUGGGGCAGAGGCACAGUGAUCCCCAAAAGCUUCAGAGACAGGUCUGUCUGUGAAUUGAGACUGGAAAGAUGAGUCAAGUCACUUCAAGCCGAGAGCAGCGUGAGCCGAAGCAGGGAGGUUUGAAGCCACACACAGAGUUGAAGGAACUAGAAUAAAAGCCCAGGCUCUGAAGUCAGACUUCCUAGAUUUAAAUCCUGAAUCUCCCACUUACAAAUGUGAGAUCUUGAGGAGGAACCCAGAAGACUCGUUAUCCACAUCACGUCCUCACACGUUACCAGCAACAUGAAACUCUCUUAGACAAACUUCUGGCAAAAAGCAGCAAAUGUACACCUACGGGAAAUGAGUCAACUUUGAAAGUAUUAGAACAUUGUGUGUCUCUGGACAAAAAGCAUUGCCACGCUUAAAAAUGCACCCACAUUUUAUAAACGGUUCCAACAGCUUUUCUUUCUUAAGCAAGUCCUUAAAUUUAAAGUGAAUACCAACACCUGGAUUUGACAAACUAUCUUAGGUUCAAAUGUUUUGUUUUGGUUUUU